CUCUUCAUAGUUUAAUGGAUAAAACGCGGCCCUUCUAAGGCUGAGAUGCAGGUUCGAUUCCUGCUGAGGAGA
rnacentral:tRNA from 1 species